rfam:Gemmatimonas aurantiaca T-27 DNA, complete genome.
UGGCCUAUCGUAUAACGGCUAUUACCCCGGCCUUUGGAGCCGGAGAUCUUGGUUCGAUUCCAAGUGGGCCUA